rnacentral:misc_RNA from 1 species
UUCGUUUUUUAAUUAAAAACUAGAAUGAAAGGUUAUACAUUCAAAUUUCUUUAUUAAUUUCUAAUUAAUAAUUUAUAUUAAAUAUAAAAAUAUACUUAUAAAAAAAAAAGACGACAAGACCCUAUUAAAUUUUACUUAUAGUUUAACUGGGGAAGUUUUUUAAUUAAAAUUUUUUAAAUUUAAUAAAUAAAAAUCUAAUAAAAUUAAAAUUUUAACAAAUUACUAUAGGGAUAACAGCAUUAUAUUUUUUAAAAGUUCAUAUUAAAAAAAAUGAUUAUGACCUCGAUGUUGAAUUAUAUUUUCUAUAUUUAAUGCAAUAAUUAUAAAAGUAGAUCUGUUCGAUCUUUAAAAUAUUACAUGAUUUGAGUUCAAACCGGUGUAAACCAGGUUGGUUUCUAUCUUUUUAUAUAUUUUUCCAGUACGAAAGGACAAACAAAUUUUUAUUUUAAUAAAUUAGCAAAUAAAUGCAUUAGAUUUAGAAUCUAAAUAUAUUUAAUAAUU